rnacentral:lncRNA from 1 species
CCCCCACCGGGCCCACCGGUGAGACACGUGGAAAUCGGGGUGUGACAGUUUACUUUUGCCGAUUCAUAGAAAGGUUUAUACAUGAUUGGUUGUUGGGUAUCCACAAUACUCGAUGGAAUACUUAUGUCAUUGUGAGAACCAUCCAAUGCCUCAAACUCCAUGUCAUCAAUUUCCUGUUUUUUACAAAAUAAUAUAUGAGAACGGGACAAAUAAUAACAAUAAUAUCAUAGGUAUAAAAAAUAUAAUCUAAAGUUGACUAUAAAAUUGUACUUAACUUAGCCGAUUCAUAUGUAGGUUUACACAUGAUUGGGUGAACGAAGAUAUUGUCCAUGGAUGCAACCUCAAAGAAGAAAAAAAGAAAUAAGAAAGGUCUGACGUUCCAUCAUAUAGUGCCUUUUCGACUACAACUGGUGACUACACAAAGAAAUAUGAAUUAGAAAGUAAGUUUCUAGCAGGCUGUACAUCAUUCAUAACUGAAGGCUUUGGUGGUGACUGGUUCAUGCUUGCUGUUUUCAGAAAAGAAAAACACUAAAUGAUUUUGUCAGGUGCUUUGUCAUAAUGUGCCUCUUCGACUACAACUGGUGACUACAUAAAGAAGUAUAUGAAUUAAGAAGUAUGUUUCCUGCAGGCUGAUCUUCAUGCAUAACUGAUGGCUUUGGUGAUGACUGGUCCAUGCUUGAGUAUUUCAGACAAAAAUGAGAAAUGAUUAAGCCGGCUUCUCGGUUAUAUAGAAGAAAAGUAAACUGUAAACUGCAUAAUAGUGGGUGCUAAAGUUUUGCUAAAAGCCUGAAAAAUUGGCAUAAAUGUAGGAAUUUUGGAAAGAAGGGCUGAACUUCGAUCAACUGCCCAAUUUAGAAUGUUCAACCGAAAACCCCACUACCCAUGGUUAUAGGAUGCUAAAAUUGUGGAGAUCAUGGGCAAGAGUUGUGGAGAUCAUGGCAGCAAAGGUGGAGCUACCAAAACUGUCAGAAAACUUCCAUCAACCGCCACAAGAGCGGUUAUUUUUUGGAGUUUAAACGGCUGAGAUUUCAUCUCAGCAUGAUCUGACGGUGGAUAUCGAUUUAGAAAGUAGUUAGACUUAAUGGGUUUAAUGUAUAUAUAUAAUUAUUUCUUUUCAUUCUACCCAUUUUCUUUCAUCUCCUUAACUAAUUUUCUCUUCUUUUAUAUUUAUUAAACUUGACAACAGUUAAUUAAUUUUUUUUUCUUUUAUUUCGUUUAUUAAACUUGAGAAUAGAGUGUACCUGCAUGAAUGUGUGAUGAUGGGACCAUCGUCUCUAUCUCGAGCUCACAGACCAUUACACGUGGUAUGAUUUCUACCCUGGACACAUGUAUUUAACUUAUACAAAGUUGGUUUUAAGAAAAUCUUAUACAAAUAACUUUCAAAGCACAAAGUAUACCAUUAAUAAU